rnacentral:rRNA from 1 species
UACGUAGGGUGCAAGCGUUAAUCGGAAUUACUGGGCGUAAAGCGUGCGCAGGCGGCUUUGCAAGACAGAUGUGAAAUCCCCGGGCUUAACCUGGGAACUGCAUUUGUGACUGCAUGGCUGGAGUGCGGCAGAGGGGGAUGGAAUUCCGCGUGUAGCAGUGAAAUGCGUAGAGAUGUGGAGGAACACCGAUGGCGAAGGCAGCCCCCUGGGCUAACACUGACGCUCAUGCACGAAAGCGUGGGGAGCAAACAGG